rnacentral:lncRNA from 1 species
AAGAGUUUUGUUAAAUUAUUUGUCUCUAUAAGUCUUAAGCAUUUUUGUUUUUCUCCCUAGGUAACAUCUCCAAGAACAAAGAAGGAAAUGUUUCCAUUCACUGAAAAAUCUGGUCUCUGCCACUUGGAAGACUGACAGAGGAAGAGCUUCAGGAGGAAAUGUCUUCCUCAUUGGAUGAUUGGGAGAAAACUGGCACCCCAAAUCAGGUGGUUUUGGCCUAAGGAAAUGAGCCAGAAGCCACAUGCAUCUUUUCAUCGGAUCACCAGCAGGUUGCUUCUGAAGACACCUCCGGGCAGGUUGGACACUGCGCGGACCCUCACAGCCUGGGGCAACUGGCUGGUGCUCCUGCCGCGAAGUGAGCCAACACAAACCCAGAAUUACAAACUUCAUCACACGCAAGUGGUCCAGGCAGCAGCUGUUAAAAAUGGCACAGCUAUGAACAAGUGUAAUAGGAAGGACUGAUUGGAUCAUGGUGUGAUAUCAGAGGUCCCGGGACAUGCUACCUUCCAGAAAUGACAGAGACAUUACAAG